AUUGAACGCUGGCGGCAGGCCUAACACAUGCAAGUCGAGCGGAUGAAGGGAGCUUGCUCCUGGAUUCAGCGGCGGACGGGUGAGUAAUGCCUAGGAAUCUGCCUGGUAGUGGGGGAUAACGUCCGGAAACGGGCGCUAAUACCGCAUACGUCCUGAGGGAGAAAGUGGGGGAUCUUCGGACCUCACGCUAUCAGAUGAGCCUAGGUCGGAUUAGCUAGUUGGUGGGGUAAAGGCCUACCAAGGCGACGAUCCGUAACUGGUCUGAGAGGAUGAUCAGUCACACUGGAACUGAGACACGGUCCAGACUCCUACGGGAGGCAGCAGUGGGGAAUAUUAGACAAUGGGCGAAAGCCUGAUCCAGCCAUGCCGCGUGUGUGAAGAAGGUCUUCGGAUUGUAAAGCACUUUAAGUUGGGAGGAAGGGCAGUAAGUUAAUACCUUGCUGUUUUGACGUUACCAACAGAAUAAGCACCGGCUAACUUCGUG
rnacentral:rRNA from 1 species